rfam:Triticum aestivum genome assembly, contig: Triticum_aestivum_CS42_TGACv1_scaffold_486250_6AS
CGGAUACACCAUCCGUCCCAAAAUUCUUGUCUUAGAUUUGUCUAGAUACGGAUGUAUCAAGUCACGUUUUAGUAUUAGAUACAUCCGUAUCUAAGACAAUAAUUUUGGGACGGAGGAAGUAUAAG